rnacentral:rRNA from 1 species
GAUGAACGCUGGCGGCGUGCUUAACACAUGCAAGUCGAACGGGGGCGUGAUGUGCGAGAGGGAUAGUUUACUAGACUUCAAACUUUUCACGCCCUAGUGGCGGACGGGUGAGUAACGCGUGGGUAACCUGCCAUAUACAGGGGGAUAACACUUAGAAAUAGGUGCUAAUACCGCAUAAGCGCACAGGGGCGCAUGCCCCGGUGUGAAAAACUCCGGUGGUAUAUGAUGGACCCGCGUCUGAUUAGCCAGUUGGCAGGGUAACGGCCUACCAAAGCGACGAUCAGUAGCCGGCCUGAGAGGGCGGACGGCCACAUUGGGACUGAGACACGGCCCAA